UCAUUUUAGACCAAACGCACCAUACCACACAUGUUAGGGCAAAUCAUUUCAGCCUCCCAAAUCGCCUCCAUCUCUAUUCUCGUUCUCAACUCCGAACUUGCCCUCUCUCUGCCUCUGCAACUGCAAACUACAAAAUCUCCAAGAAUCAGAUCAGCCUCCCAAAUCGCCUCCAUCUCUAUUCUCGUUCUCAACUCUGAACUUGCCCUCUCUUUGUCUCUGCAACUACGAACUACAAAAUCUACAAGAAUCAGUACCCAUAUCGGCAUAUCAUUUCAGAUUGUUUAAAAAAUUAAAACCCAUAUCCUUCAGUUUCCAUCGCCCGCUGUGCCAGUUCGGCUUCACCGUUUGAAAGCUUCAGCCUCAGGCCCGUUGUCUCUCAACUCUCAAGCCCUCUCUACUCUCUCAUAAGGAUGACGCUGAGUAACGACUUGAAGAUUAGCAAUUGACCAAAAUUGCAGAACUCUACAGGUAAAUUUCUAGGGUUUUUGAGUCUUGUCUCACAUGGUGAUUGAUUAGCAAAAAAACCCUAGCGAUAUCUGUUCUCUCUCUCUAGGGUUUUUAUCUCAGAUGGAAGGCGUCGAUGAUGAUUUCGGCGAUAUGUACGCAGACGUUGAAGUUCACGCAAGUACAGCCAUCAAUGGUUUCCCAAACCACACUCAAUCAUACAUAAUUUGAGAAGUGGAGGGUUUGAUGAUGAAGAAGAGGAGGAAGGUUGUGAUUUUGCAACUGCGGAGGGGAAUGGUUCGGGUAAGAAUUGGAAAUGGGUUGAUCAAUCCCAGUUGGGCGAUGGAUUGGAACAGUGUUCUAAUGGUACUGGUGGCGGUGAGAGGGGAAAUCUGGUGAAGGGCGGUUAUCAUUCACAAUACAAGUACUUAAGAUAUCAGACAGCAGCUUAUCCUUAUAAUUCAAAAGCCAAUGGAUCCAUGGGUUCAGCUUCCUACUCUUCCACCUUAGCUAGAGGCAAUUGGGACAAUAAUGGUCCAGUCAACAUAUGGGCUCAAGCUCAGUAGUAACUCAAAGUGGAUAUAAUUUCUCUCUUCCCUGGUAUAGGACUAUACUAGAUAUAAAUAUUGCUAUGUUCGAACAGAGGCCAUGGAGGCAUACUGGAACUGAUAUAACAGAUUUUUUUAAUUUAAGGUUCGACGAGGAAAGUUGGAAAAGUUAUUGCAACUGUCUUGUAAAUGAAUAUUCUUUUAAUUUUACCUUCUAGCAAAUUUACAUUACUUGUCCGUAAAUACCAAGGUUGGUCUUCUUGGGCAUACACGUGUAUAUUAGCUGGGGAGCAAUUUCGGCAGCAAACAUCCAUUCAAACCAGGAACGUCUUCCAUGAGCCUUCCGAACCUAAUGAGAAGGCAUCUGAAGUUGGAUCUAAGCACGAAACAGUAGUUCCAUAAGCUGUGACUGAAAAUAAUGCUCAAACUAGACAGGGAAGAACAGUUUCUCCUUCACCAAGAAUUGCUUAUAGGAAAAUGAAGCAGUUAGAAAUGCUAAAAGGUAGAGCAAUUCAGGUCAAAGACAGCAUUGCAGAACGCCAACCAUCCUUUGAUGUAAGGCGUCCACUUGAUCUAGAUUCUGAUGUGGUGAUACAGAUUGCUGUGCAGGACUCCAUGAAGGAUUCUACUGAUUCUGAGGAGGAACUGGGACAUAUCAAUUUUGUAGGUUAAAGCUAGGAUUGCGGUUCUCAUUACUUUUUUUGUUGCCGUUAUAUUUUUUGUAUGGCUCAUGAUCAAGAAGUUGCAUAUAUGGAAGAGAGAGAUUAAAACAGAGCAAGAAGAUAUGAAGAAUUUUUGUUUUAUUUUGGUUAAGUAAAGAUAUAAGCUUGUGGAUCAUGUCCUUCUUUGAAAUUUGUAUAUAUUUUUGUAUAAAAUCAUGAUUUGGAAUUAGUUAUAUAUAUAUAUAUAUAUAUAUAUAUAUAUAUAUAUAUAUAUGAUGUUAUUGGCCAGUUGUAAGUUAUAUUGGUUAUGAUGCUAUUUUUUAUUUAUAGGGUUUGCUUCUUGGGUCCUUGCAAGGCUAUUAGGGCUAAAUAAAAAAGGCCUCAUAGGGGCUGUACAAUAUUUUU